rnacentral:tRNA from 1 species
GGCCUAUCUGGCCUGCGGGAUCGCCCUGCUGGCGGCGGUGCGGGCCGGGCGGCUGCCGGACACGGUGCGGCUCGGAUCCGCCUGGGCCUCC